AUCCAGGUGACGAGUCCCAAAUAGGAUGAAUUGCGAGUCCUGGAU
rnacentral:hammerhead_ribozyme from 1 species